GUCGAACGGAAAGGCCCCUUCGGGGGUGCUCGAGUGGCGAACGGGUGAGUAACACGUGGGUGAUCUGCCCUGCACUUUGGGAUAAGCCUGGGAAACUGGGUCUAAUACCGAAUACACCCUGCUGGUCGCAUGGCCUGGUGGGGGAAAGCUUUUGCGGUGUGGGAUGGGCCCGCGGCCUAUCAGCUUGUUGGUGGGGUGAUGGCCUACCAAGGCGACGACGGGUAGCCGGCCUGAGAGGGUGUCCGGCCACACUGGGACUGAGAUACGGCCCAGACUCCUACGGGAGGCAGCAGUGGGGAAUAUUGCACAAUGGGCGCAAGCCUGAUGCAGCGACGCCGCGUGGGGGAUGACGGCCUUCGGGUUGUAAACCCCUUUCAGUAUCGACGAAGCCGUGAGGUGACGGUAGGUACAGAAGAAGCACCGGCCAACUACGUGCCAGCAGCCGCGGUAAUACGUAGGGUGCGAGCGUUGUCCGGAAUUACUGGGCGUAAAGAGCUCGUAGGUGGUUUGUCGCGUUGUCCGUGAAAACUCACAGCUUAACUGUGGGCGUGCGGGCGAUACGGGCAGACUGGAGUACUGCAGGGGAGACUGGAAUUCCUGGUGUAGCGGUGGAAUGCGCAGAUAUCAGGAGGAACACCGGUGGCGAAGGCGGGUCUCUGGGCAGUAACUGACGCUGAGGAGCGAAAGCGUGGGGAGCGAACAGGAUUAGAUACCCUGGUAGUCCACGCCGUAAACGGUGGGUACUAGGUGUGGGUUUCCUUCCUUGGGAUCCGUGCCGUAGCUAACGCAUUAAGUACCCCGCCUGGGGAGUACGGCCGCAAGGCUAAAACUCAAAGGAAUUGACGGGGGCCCGCACAAGCGGCGGAGCAUGUGGAUUAAUUCGAUGCAACGCGAAGAACCUUACCUGGGUUUGACAUGCACAGGACGC
rnacentral:rRNA from 1 species